GGCGGCGUAGCUCUAACCGGCGAGAGCGGCUGUUUCGUAAACAGCAGGUUGAGAGUUCGAAUCUCUCCGCCGCCUCCA
rnacentral:tRNA from 1 species